rnacentral:rRNA from 1 species
AAUGAACGCUGGCGGCGUGCCUAAUACAUGCAAGUCGAGCGGCAGCACGGUCUUCGGACUGGUGGCGAGCGGCGGACGGCUGAGUAACGCGUAGGAACAUGCCCUAAAGUGAGGAAUAACUGCCCGAAAGGGUGGCUAAUGCCGCAUGUGCUCUUCGGAGUAAAGCUUUAUGCGCUUUAGGAGUGGCCUGCGUCCGAUUAGCUAGUUGGUGAGGUAAAUGCUCACCAAGGCGACGAUCGGUAGCUGGUCUGAGAGGAUGAUCAGCCAGACUGGAACUGAGAACGGUCCAGACUCCUACGGGAGGCAGCAGAAGGGAAUUUUCCACAAUGGGCGAGAGCCUGAUGGAGCAACGCCGCGUGCAGGAUGAAUGCCUUCGGGUUGUAAACUGCUUUUAUGUGCGAAGAAUUUGACUGUAACACAUGAAUAAGGAUCGGCUAACUACGUGCCAGCAGCCGCGGUAA